UAGGGAAUCUUCCACAAUGGACGAAAGUCUGAUGGAGCAACGCCGCGUGAGUGAAGAAGGGUUUCGGCUCGUAAAACUCUGUUGUUAAAGAAGAACAUAUCUGAGAGUAACUGCUCAGGUAUUUAACCAGAAAGCCACGGCUAACUACGUGCCAG
rnacentral:rRNA from 1 species